UUUCCAACACUUCGGCAGCAGAUAUAUUAAAAAUGGAAUGAUGCAGAAAAGAAUAGCAUGGUCCCUGCACAAGGAUGACACACAAAUUUGUGAAGCAUUCCAUCUCGUG
rnacentral:snRNA from 1 species